rnacentral:rRNA from 1 species
UACAUAGGGAGCAAGCGUUAUCCGGAUUUAUUGGGUGUAAAGGGUGCGUAGACGGGAAAUUAAGUUAGUUGUGAAAUCCCUCGGCUUAACUGAGGAACUGCAACUAAAACUGAUUUUCUUGAGUACUGGAGAGGAAAGUGGAAUUCCUAGUGUAGCGGUGAAAUGCGUAGAUAUAAGGAAGAACACCAGUGGCGAAGGCGGAUGACUGGACGGCAACUGACGGUGAGGCGCGAAAGUGUGGGGAGCAAACAGG